rnacentral:rRNA from 1 species
GACGAACGCUGGCGGCGUGCCUAAUACAUGCAAGUAGAACGCAGUUGCGAACGGGUGAGUAACGCGUAGGUAACUGCCUGGUAGCGGGGGAUAACUAUUGGAAACGAUAGCUAAUACCGCAUACUACCAGGUGGACCUGCGUUGUAUUAGCUAGGUGGUGGGGUAACGGCUCACCAAGGCAACGAUACAUAGCCGACCCGGGAGGGUGGUCCGCCACACGGGGACUGAGACACGGCCCAGACUCCUACGGGGGGGAGCAGUAGGGAAACUUCGGCAAUGGGGGGAACCCUUGCCGAGCAACGGCGCGGUAGUGAAGAAGGUUUUCGGGUCGUAAAACUCUGUUGUUAAGGAAGCGGUACUUAACCAGAAAGGGACGGCUAACUACGUGCCAGCAGCCGCGGUAAUAC